rnacentral:tRNA from 1 species
UUAAUUGAAGCCAAAUUAGAGGCAUUUUAUUGUUAAUAAAAAAAUUGAUUUUAUAUUAAUCCAAUUAAA